rnacentral:lncRNA from 1 species
GGUCGUGGAGGACCACCUUCUCCGGGUGGCCCAGCCAGACCACAAUUCCCCGAGCUGCACCAAGCAACCCCAGUUCCUUAUCAAGCUGGGGUCACCCCUCAGCCUGCGUAUGAGGCGAGUUCGUCGUCAUCGUCCCAGCCACCCGAGCCUUCAGAAGUGGUGGUGCAGUUUGAGGACCUUUCCAUCGAGCAAGAGACUGCACCUUCACAGGCUAUUCAACCUGCGGCGCCAGCGCCCUCAAGUAAGUCAGUCAGGUUCCCUCUUCGCCCUGGUAAGGGUAGCACCGGCAUAAGGUGUACAGUCAAGGCAAACCAUUUCUUUGCUGAACUGCCAGACAAAGAUCUCCACCA